CCUGCGGGAGAGCGUCACCCUCGUGUGACCGCCGACGACGCAACCCGCCCGGAAACGCUCAGGCCAAAGGACCGCGGGG
rnacentral:ncRNA from 1 species